GUUACUUAAACAGAUGUUUUACAACUCCGACAAUAUGCCAAAAUGAAUUGUAAAGACGGACUCUCAGCACAGCAAAAUGCAAAUGCUGCGACUUUCUUCAACAUACUUCCGGGAGUAGGCUGUAUGCCAUUAAGAUUAAACGCCGCCAACCACUUUCGUAGCAGUUUCCUAAAUGCUAACCAGAUAGCAAGGCUACUCCAGGUAAAAGAUUCAGCUGGUACGCCACUGAAACGCACCAGGCAGGUGUAGUGUGAGCUCCACCACCACCACCACCACCACCACCUCCGCCACCUCCUCCUCCUCCCCAGCCUCCCUUGCUUCCCCUCCACCCUCCGCCGGCGAGUUAGGCCUGUGGACGGGCGCGGGAAUGCAGGUGUGACAUGUUAGGAGGGGCCCAGGUGCUUAUUGAGUUAUCAGGAUGUUGACACUGCUCGUUUCAUCUAUCAUGGGCUUAAGCAUUGUCACGUCGGAGCCACUGUUCCCCGUCGGGCGGAUAGAAAAGACAAUAACAACAACAACAGCUGGAACGGUUAAGAGCCCCUCCGUCGUUUUUGUCCUCGUGUGCAUAUCUUAAGCAGGCGGUUAACGGUUGUGUGUGUUUGAAGGUACGGCGGCGGCGGCGGCGGCGGAGCUCGUACCGUUUAACCACGCAUUAAGGAGGGAUUUAAUCAACUCAAGACGGCGGGCCUGGGUAGGAUCCCUUGAAUGUACCGCGCUGAACGUGGCACCGUCACCAAGGGUUGUUUAACACGCCUCUAUCUAGCCCACAGUUAGCUUAACGGAGUCAUUGUGAGUGCAUUAGGGCCAAUUACAGUGUGCUUGGAUGCCCCAUAAACCAUCUGCAUUAGAAGCGGCUUUGUCAGGAGAUCAUGGGGUGGUUUGUGUGCGACAUGAAAGGUGUGUUUCUACCUCUCGGUCUUCAUCGCCAGCCCGGCGCCAUUCAGCACAUAAAGUGAAGCCAGAUUUACGGUGGAAAGGUUUUAACCCCGGGACUAAAACUCCAUCUGAUAAACAAGCAAUCCUUGCUUGAGGCUAAAUAAUUCUCUUUGAGGUCGGUGAUUUACAAUGCCGUGAAGUAUCUGUUUGUGGGGAGGCAGCUCGGAGGAACGCAGCGCUGUGAUUGGUCAUCCGUGAUCCAAAUUUGCUCCCGGAUCUCUGGCUCACGAGUUUGAGGGGGUUUCUAAAUGAACAAAUGCAUAAAUGAUAGCAGGGGUUUAUUCAGUGUUAAUAGAUGAAGAGAAAUGAACUUUUCAGAGGUUUAGACGGCUGUUCGAUUUAACGAAAUCCUCGCCAAUUCCCCCUGAUUGAGGGCAAAAGCGAGGCGGCGGCAGCCAAUCUCAUUUUCUUGGCAUUUUAAAGAGAACUCAUUGGGGUAUUGGUCCACUACGCAGACUCCUAAGAGAUCUGAUUAAAGGGAAAUCCCUCAAUGCCUUACCCUCACUUUCUCUGAAAUAAAUUAGGUGCCGGUUGCAAAUGACUAAAUUCAUCUUGCGAUGCCUGGCCUGACACACAGAAACUGAGAGACUAACCGCUGCAGAAAGGGAUAGAUGUCCAAAAACACAAAUUGUUUCUUUUUUCUUUUCUCGCAUCGCAUGCCUGUUACUCCCGGCCCCUUAAGGUAGAGGAACUCAACUCAGUAGACAGGUUUCGUUCCUUAGUGUCAGGCAUUAGCACACCUGAUAUUUCUCAGCGUUUGCAGCUAAUUUCCUAACCGCCUGGUUUUCCAGGUUUUUGGGAUAGCGGAGCUCUCCGUGGAGUGUAAGAAAUGUGUCCAUCAUCUCUGUAAUAUUGUGGUGAUUGCAUGGAAAAAGUCUGCCGCAGCCCAGUCUUCCAUCUCAAAAAUAAAAAAAGGCUUAUAUAAUUCUGUGAACAACUGUAGACGAUUGGCCCAAGGUUAAAUCAUGAGCUGUAAAAUGCGUUGUCAAAGCUCAUAAAUUCAGUGUAAUUUUCUUUUUAGCAGACUUUAGGAAAGCGAGAGCUAAUUCCUCAUUCCCGUCAUGCGCAGGCCCGUGUGUUUACAUAUGCUCGCUGCGUGACAGAAACUUCGCUGUCCUUGAUAUUAUAACCAGGCAUGUAUGUUUUUUUUUUUUCUUUUUCCAUUUAUUCAUGAGUAAAAAAAAAAACAUCAUUCCAUCUCACGAGGAUUCCAUGUGGACAAACACACAAAACUAAAUAUUACUUCUGCAAGCAACAGUAUUGAGUCCGAUGUACUUUUCUCUCCUCAGUGAUAAGCUUCGCCUUAUUGACAGUAAACAUAUUCACUGGGGUCUAGGCCGUCUCGAGGAAAGGUGAUUAUAUCGGUUCGGCUUGUUCCUGCUCAAGCAUGCGUUUGUAUCCUCACAGUUUUGCAGACUGUCAGAGUUGCUGUGGUGAUUCUCGGGGUAAAGCCCUUGCUAUA